rnacentral:rRNA from 1 species
UGUAAGCGUAUACCAAAGUUGUUGCAGUUAAAACGCUCGUAGUCGGAAUUUGGCAGUUCCGGAAGUGUGCACGUCGUGUGCGCACUUUGCGGGGACUGCUUUUGUGGUCUUGCGUAGGAUGAGGCACUUUCAUUGGUGAACGUCCUCACGCAACCACUCUUUACUGUGAGAAAAUCAGAGUGCUCAAAGCAGGCAUUUGCCGUGAAUGUAUUAGCAUGGAAUAAUAGAAUAGGACUCGGUUCUAUUUUGUUGGUUUGUUGGGACUGAGUAAUGAUUAAGAGGGACAGUUGGGGGCAUUUGUAUUCCGGCGCUAGAGGUGAAAUUCUUAGAUUGCCGGAAGACAAACUGCUGCGAAAGCGUCUGCCAAGGAUGUUUUCAUUGA